rnacentral:rRNA from 1 species
AUGCCACGGGCCUCCGCAGCUGUCCAUGCUGGACAAGUAACAACACUUCUAUACCAAAAAUCAAACAGCUUAAAAAGGAUUUAUUUUUCCUGGUUAAUUUUGGCUUGUUUUGGGUGCAGGUAUGAUGCUGGUGGCGAGGGAGCGUGCUUGAAGAGAUACACCGACCCCUCCUUCAGAGCCCACUCUGCACAGCAUCAGCGUAUCUUGCAUGAAACCAAACCAGACAUUCAGAGUUCAGACAUCCAUUCCAAACCUCCUGCCGAGGAAGCCCGCCAUAAAAAAUACUCCAACAGAUUCAAAACAGGCGCGUUGUCCGAUAUGCUCCGACAACUUAAAUAUCGACACAUCAUCGGAAGAAUCAGGCAUCAAAAGCAAAACUUUCAGAACCAGGAUUCGUCACAAGAUGAAGCAUCUGAAGCACCCGUUUGGCCUUCAGCUAAUUCGCCUGAAAUGUCAGACACCGAAGCGCCAUGCCCUGCAGUACCAGUGAACAAGGAGGGAAGCAGUUACCUCGUCGAGAGGACCAGCUCGUUCGGGGCAUGGCUGUCUCCAGGUGCAGCCUCUACUCGUGCGUGUGACAUCACAGAAGACAAUGCUGAUGGAUUUGACAGCCAUGGCGCCAACAAGGCUGACGAGAAUGCCAACAUUGCCACAAAUGCUCGUAGCGCCCUUGUCGACUUCAUUGCCUCGAGGGGUGAAAGCUCGCGGAGGAAGCUCUCUGUCAAGAAGCACGAUGACCCAUUAACGGAAUCCUUCCGGAACAUGGCUAAGAAGCUACUACUUGAGAAUGGAUCAACAGAGAAUCUUCUUAACAACAAACUAGUGCAUUCUGAAGACGUACCAGAUCCAGAUGAAAUUGCAUUUUACAGCAAAAGCGCCGAGGACACUCAACAAGACGCAGAGCAAUGUGACCAUCCUUGUGAAUAA